GACGAACGCUGGCGGCGUGCUUAACACAUGCAAGUCGAACGAUGAUGCCCAGCUUGCUGGGUGGAUUAGUGGCGAACGGGUGAGUAACACGUGAGUAACCUGCCCCUGACUCUGGGAUAAGCGUUGGAAACGACGUCUAAUACUGGAUAUGACUGCCAGCCGCAUGGUCUGGUGGUGGAAAGAUUUUUUGGUUGGGGAUGGACUCGCGGCCUAUCAGCUUGUUGGUGAGGUAAUGGCUCACCAAGGCGACGACGGGUAGCCGGCCUGAGAGGGUGACCGGCCACACUGGGACUGAGACACGGCCCAGACUCCUACGGGAGGCAGCAGUGGGGAAUAUUGCACAAUGGGCGAAAGCCUGAUGCAGCAACGCCGCGUGAGGGAUGACGGCCUUCGGGUUGUAAACCUCCUUUAGUAGGGAAGAAGCGAAAGUGACGGUACCUGCAGAAAAAGCACCGGCUAACUACGUGCCAGCCGCCGCGGUAAAAC
rnacentral:rRNA from 1 species